UACGUGGGGUGCAAGCGUUGUUCGGAAUUACUGGGCGUAAAGCGCGUGUAGGCGGCCAUUUAUGUCAGGUGUGAAAGCCCUCGGCCUAACCGAGGAAGUGCGCCUGAAACUGGAUGGCUUGAGUACGAGAGAGGAGGACGGAAUUCCCAGUGUAGAGGUGAAAUUCGUAGAUAUUGGGAGGAACACCGGUGGCGAAAGCGGUUCUCUGGAUCGAUACUGACGCUGAUACGCGAAAGCGUGGGGAGCAAACAGG
rnacentral:rRNA from 1 species